GAAUAUUGGACAAUGGGCGAAAGCCUGACCCAGCAACGCCGCGUGAAGGAUGAAGUAUUUCGGUAUGUAAACUUCGUAAGAAUGGGAAGAAUAAAUGACGGUACCAUUUGUAAGGUCCGGCUAACUACGUGCCGGCAGCCGCGGUAAUACGUAGGGACCAAGCGUUGUUCGGAUUUACUGGGCGUAAAGGGAGCGUAGGCGGCGCGUCAAGUCAGCUGUGAAAUCUUAAGGCUUAACCUUAAGCGGUCAGCUGAUACUGUCGUGCUAGAGUGCAGAAAGGGCAAUCGGAAUUCUUGGUGUAGCGGUGAAAUGCGUAGAUAUCAAGAGGAACACCUGAGGCGAAGGCGGGUUGCUAGGCUGACACUGACGCUGAGGCUCGAAAGCUAGGGGAGCAAACGGG
rnacentral:rRNA from 1 species